GUAUUCUUAGCUCAGUUGGAUAGAGCAACAACCUUCUAAGUUGAAGGUCACAGGUUCAAAUCCUGUAGAAUGCG
rnacentral:tRNA from 1 species